GAUGAACGCUGGCGGCGUGCCUAAUACAUGCAAGUCGAGCGAACGGACGAGAGGCUUGCUUCUCUGAUGUUAGCGGCGGACGGGUGAGUAACACGUGGAUAACCUACCUAUAAGACUGGGAUAACUUCGGGAAACCGGAGCUAAUACCGGAUGAUAUUUUGAACCGCAUGGUUCAAAAGUGAAAGACGGUUUUGCUGUCACUUAUAGAUGGAUCCGCGCUGCAUUAGCUAGUUGGUAAGGUAACGGCUUACCAAGGCAACGAUGCGUAGCCGACCUGAGAGGGUGAUCGGCCACACUGGAACUGAGACACGGUCCAGACUCCUACGGGAGGCAGCAGUAGGGAAUCUUCCGCAAUGGGCGAAAGCCUGACGGAGCAACGCCGCGUGAGUGAUGAAGGUCUUCGGAUCGUAAAACUCUGUUAUUAGGGAAGAACAUAUGUGUAAGUAACUGUGCACGUCUUGACGGUACCUAAUCAGAAAGCCACGGCUAACUACGUG
rnacentral:rRNA from 1 species